CUUUCUCCCACUUUAUCAUUCUCUUUUCAUUUCUCUCUCCUCUUUGCCAUUAAAAGGUCCAUUUAAGCUCAUCUUAAGCACUUAAGCUGCUUCUCAAUCCUCCAUAUUAACGUAUAUAAGCUCCUCAAAAACUUCUUAACUCUAAAGAAGUGAUCGAAAUUCAGCGUCAAUGUUCUAUUCUCAUCAACUGCUUGCUCAAAAAGCUCCACUCGAAAAAUGUCACAGGUUUUCAGAAAUAUACCGUCCUAGCUAGUUUCAACUCCGUCCUCGACAAAGAAAUCACAACCAUCAAUGGAGAUAAAACACUGGAUUUUAGCAAUCAGGGGAUACAAGAAGGAGAAGCAACUAUCUCUUUUGUUUUAUUUAACUUUUGUGUAAUACAAAAGCCCAUCGCAACAAUAUGUAGCUUCUAGUUAUAGGUUGUAAUCGUAUUUCUAUGCAAAUUAUGUAAAAAAAAAUACUUUAAGGAGAA